UGCAGUCGAGCGAACAGAAGGGAGCUUGCUCCCGGAUGUUAGCGGCGGACGGGUGAGUAACACGUGGGUAACCUGCCUGUAAGACUGGGAUAACUCCGGGAAACCGGAGCUAAUACCGGAUAGUUCCUUGAACCGCAUGGUUCAAGGAUGAAAGACGGUUUCGGCUGUCACUUACAGAUGGACCCGCGGCGCAUUAGCUAGUUGGUGGGGUAAUGGCUCACCAAGGCGACGAUGCGUAGCCGACCUGAGAGGGUGAUCGGCCACACUGGGACUGAGACACGGCCCAGACUCCUACGGGAGGCAGCAGUAGGGAAUCUUCCGCAAUGGACGAAAGUCUGACGGAGCAACGCCGCGUGAGUGAUGAAGGUUUUCGGAUCGUAAAGCUCUGUUGUUAGGGAAGAACAAGUGCGAGAGUAACUGCUCGCACCUUGACGGUACCUAACCAGAAAGCCACGGCUAACUACGUGCCAGCA
rnacentral:rRNA from 1 species